AAAAACAUGUCCUUUUGGUUUUAUUUAAGGUCUGACCUGCCCAAUGAUUUAUUUAAUGGCCGCGGUAUUUUAACUGUGCUAAGGUAGCAUAAUCAUUUGUCUUUUAAUUGAAGGCUGGUAUGAAUGGUUGGACGAGGCAUAAUCUUUCUUUAAUUUAAUUUAUGAAUUUAAUUUUUUAGUUAAAAAGCUAAAAUUUAUUUGUUGGACGAGAAGACCCUAUAGAUCUUAAUAUUUAAUUGAGUUCAAUAAUUUGGUUAAUUUAUUAUUUGGAUUUAUAUAAGUAUUUGGUUGGGGUGACUGUGGAAUUUUAAUAACUUCUGUUUUUUAUUUUCAUUUGUUUAUGUUUUAUUGAUCCAUUAUUAAUGAUUAUAAGAUUAAGUUACCUUAGGGAUAACAGCGUAAUUCUUUCGGAGAGUUCAUAUCGAUGAAAGAGUUUGCGACCUCGAUGUUGGAUUAAAAUAAGUAGUAGAUGCAGUAGUUUACUUACUAGGUCUGUUCGACCUUUUAUUUUUUACAUGAUCUGAGUUC
rnacentral:rRNA from 1 species